rnacentral:ncRNA from 1 species
AUAAAGUUUAAUUCUAGCUUAAAGAUUUAUUUAAUUUUUUUUUUACAUGUAAAUUUUUGUAAGAUUAAUAAAAAUAUUUAAAUAAUUUUUUUAUAUUAUUUUAUUCGCAGUAUUUAAUUUUAAUAAUUUAAGAAAUUAAGAAUUAUAAAUAAAUUUUUAUAUUGACAAAUUUUGUGCCAGCAGUUGCGGUUAUACAAAAAAUAUAAAUAAAUUAUAUUAGUAAAUAAUUAAAUGUAUAUUAAAUUAAAUAAAUAUUAUUUUUAUUAAGUGAAAUUUUAAAUAUAAUAUUAAAUUUUCAAAUAAAAUUUUAUUGUUAUGAAAUUUUUAUUUAAACUAGGAUUAGAUACCCUAUUAUUUUAAAUGUAAAAUAAGAAUACUUAAGUAUUAUUAGUUAUGUUCUUUAAAUUUUAAGAUUUUGGCGGUAUUUUAGUCUAUUUAGAGGAACCUGUUCUAUAAUUGAUAGUCCACGAUUAACUUUACUUGAUUUAUAAUAAUUUGUAUACCGUCGUUAUUAGAAAAUUUUAAAAGAAUGAAAAUUUUUAGUUUUUUUUAUAAAAAAAUAUAUCAGAUCAAGGUGCAGUUUAUAGUUAAGAAGAAAUGGGUUACAAUAAAUUUAUUUAUAUGAAUUAAAGUAAUAAUAAUACUUUAUGAAGGUGGAUUUAAUAGUAAUAAAAUUUAUUUUUAUUUUAUGAUUUUAGCUCUAAAAUAUGUACAUAUCGCCCGUCGCUCUUAUUAUAAAAUAAGAUAAGUCGUAACAUAGUAGAUGUACUGGAAAGUGUAUCUAGAAUGGA